GUGCCAGCAGCCGCGGUAAUACAGAGGGGGCAAGCGUUAUUCGGAAUUAUUGGGCGUAAAGGGCGCGUAGGCGGCUUCGCAAGUGGAUGGUGAAAUCCCUCGGCUCAACCGAGGAACUGCCGUCCAAACUGCGUGGCUUGAGUCCGGGAGAGGUGAGUGGAAUUCCCAGUGUAGCGGUGAAAUGCGUAGAUAUUGGGAGGAACACCAGUGGCGAAGGCGGCUCACUGGACCGGAACUGACGCUGAGGCGCGAAAGCGUGGGGAGCAAACGGGAUUAGAAACCCCUGUAGUCC
rnacentral:rRNA from 1 species